rnacentral:rRNA from 1 species
GACGAACGCUGGCGGCGUGCUUAACACAUGCAAGUCGAACGGAAAGGCCCUGCUUGCAGGGUACUCGAGUGGCGAACGGGUGAGUAACACGUGGGUGAUCUGCCCUGCACUUCGGGAUAAGCCUGGGAAACUGGGUCUAAUACCGGAUAGGAGCCAUUUUUAGUGUGAUGGUUGGAAAGUUUUUUCGGUGUAGGAUGAGCUCGCGGCCUAUCAGCUUGUUGGUGGGGUAAUGGCCUACCAAGGCGGCGACGGGUAGCCGGCCUGAGAGGGUGGACGGCCACAUUGGGACUGAGAUACGGCCCAGACUCCUACGGGAGGCAGCAGUGGGGAAUAUUGCACAAUGGGCGCAAGCCUGAUGCAGCGACGCCGCGUGGGGGAUGACGGCCUUCGGGUUGUAAACUCCUUUAGCUAGGGACGAAGCUUUUUGUGACGGUACCUAGAUAAGAAGCACCGGCUAACUACGUG